rnacentral:rRNA from 1 species
UACGUAGGGUGCAAGCGUUGUCCGGAAUUAUUGGGCGUAAAGGGCUCGUAGGCGGUCCAUCGCGUCGGGAGUGAAAAGCUGGGGCUUAACCCCAGUCCUGCUUCCGAUACGGGUGGACUAGAGGUAGGUAGGGGAGAUCGGAAUUCCUGGUGUAGCGGUGAAAUGCGCAGAUAUCAGGAGGAACACCGGUGGCGAAGGCGGCAUCCUGGACCGACACUGACACUGAGGAGCGAAAGCCAGGGGAGCAAACGGG